UCCCCGAUAGCUCAGUUGGUAGAGCGACGGACUGUUAAUCCGCAGGUCCCAGGUUCGAGCCCUGGUCGGGGAGCCA
rnacentral:tRNA from 12 species